CGCGCCGCAGGAAGCACCGCCCGCGCGCCUUCUUCCUUCUCUUCCUCCUCCGCCUCCGCCCGCCUCCCGCGGCGGUGGCGGCACGGCCAUGCAGCAGUACUUCUCCCUGGCCGACUGCGAGGUGAUCGGUUUUGAUCUGGAUCACACGCUGUGCCGCUACCACCUCCCGCAGAGCGCGACGCUAAUAUAUGAUAGUUUUGCUCAGUAUCUGGUAACAGAGAAGGGUUACGACAAAGACUUGCUGACUCUAAAUCCAGAAAGCUUAGACUUCUGUUGUAAAGGCUUGGUGUUGGACCUUGAAGAUGGAAACUUCCUGAAGCUUGCGGAAGAUGGAACAGUUUUGAGGGCAAGUCAUGGCACUAGGAGUAUGACAUCUGAAGAGAUCCUGGAGAUUUAUGGAAGGAGGGAAUGGAAGCAUUUUAGUACAGUCAGUGGAAUGCUUUCUCGCUCAGCCAAAUACUAUUUGUAUGAUAAUUAUUUUGACCUACCAGGAGCCCUGCUGUGUGCAAGGGUUGUGGACAGUUUAGAUCAGCACGAUGGUCAGAAAAAAUAUGACUUCUGGAAGGACAUGGUGGCUGCUAUCCAGCAUAAUUAUAAAAUAUCAGCUUUUAAAGAGGACUGUGGGACAUAUUUCCCAGAAGUGAAAAAUCAUCCAGAAAAAUACUUACAAAGAUGCCCCAGUUCUGUAAAAAAGUGGCUGAAGCAACUGAAGAGUGCUGGGAAGAUUCUGCUACUAAUUACCAGUUCUCACAGUGACUAUUGCAGGCUCCUGUGUGAAUAUAUUCUUGGAAAUGAUUUUGAAGAGUAUUUUGAUGUUGUGAUCACAAAUGCUUUGAAACCUGGUUUUUUCUCCCAUACUCCAAAUCAAAGACCUUUCCGAACUCUUGAAAAUGACGAAGAGCAAGAGGCUCUGUUAUCACUGGACAAGCCAGGCUGGUAUUCCCAAGGUAAUGCUAUCCAUCUUUAUGAACUACUGAAGAAGAUGACUGGCAAGUUGGACCCCAAGGUUGUUUAUUUUGGUGACAGCAUGCACUCAGAUAUUUUCCCAGCUCAUCACUAUAGCAACUGGGAAACUGUCUUCAUCUUGGAAGAGCUUCUAGGGGACAAAGUUAUGGUGCCUACAGAGACUGAAUCUGAGCCCUUGGAGAAGAAAGGAAAAUACGAGGGAUAUCAGCCCAAAAUUCCCUACUCUGUAUCUAAGCAGUGGGGCUCUUUCUUCGUGGACAGACUACCAGGUCUGGAAAAUGCAGAGGAAACCUUAGUUCGCACAUGGUCCUGUAAAUGCAUUAGCACUUACAGCACUAUUGCAAUCCCUACACUUGAAACAAUUGCAGAAAGUUUGAUUUGAGCCACGCAGAGGCAAAUGUGCUUAUCUAUCAUACCUGCAUAACCUGAACGGUACCAUCAAGUAGUCAGCUGCUACUCUGUGGCCUUCCCAUCAAAUUACCAGAUGUCCAUGAGUUUGAGUCGUCAGUCUGCUUGCUGUAUAAAUAUAAUGCUGCAAUUGCCAGUGAACCAUAGCAAAGGAGUUCAUGUUUCUGCUUAGAGUUGCAAAUUGUCUGCACAAUGGAAAGCAGAAGGCAGCUGUGGCUGGGACACUGGAGCUGGUAAAGUGUGUGUCGCAGAUACAUGAGUCUGCCUGCCACACGUUGGCUGCAAAUUGCAUUCAGCAUGUGUUUUAAAGGUGAAUGUCCAUGAGGAAUUUAUUAUUACUAUGGAAGUCAUUAAUUUAACUAAGUGUGCUGCCUUGUAUAACUUCUCUAUCCUGAGCAUUAUCACCUGUAAUUAUUACUAGAGUGAAACAACAGAAAAAUAACCCCACCACUAUAUUGUAAUACAUUUGUUCUAUGCUUUUUCAUUGAAAUUAUGUCGUAUAUAGUCAGAUCUAGCUCCUAUUAAAAUUAAAUUAGACUUUCCUGUAACCAGAGAGAUAAUUACAAACUCUUACUUAUUCAAAUAAUGUAAUAAUGAUGUAACAUUUAACUAAACAUAUAGAAGUAUAUAUGUUAUAAAUUACUUAUUAAUUAGCAGUAAACUUUAAUAUCUAAUGCUUUACAACCAUUCUUUUACUUAACACUUUCAGUGUAAGAAUUUAUCUACACAGUAUCCUGGAGACUUCAGUUUAACAAUAUGUUUUGAGGAUUCUGGCUUCCUUCUGGGCUUAGCUGCUAAGAAGAGCAUUUGCUGUUAAGAGACCCAAGAGAUCAGUUUUAUAACAAACCUUUUUUGAAAGAAAUACAUUCUUUCAAUGUUUUACAUAUAUAUAUAUAUAUAUGUAAAAACAUGGUUUCUGAAUCUUUCUGGUUCUGCUAUUUUGGUACAAAAAAAAACUGAUGGCAAAAGUAGUUUACUGGAGAUGUUCAGGUUGUGUUAGCAGCAUCUUGCUCUGACUCUAUUUGUAAAGUGAAAAAUGUUAGAUAAUUUAAAUCUGAUUUAACUGUUCCAGGAAACUAGUUUCAAUGCUCUGAGUUUGAGAGACAAAAUAAUACACUCAGCACAACAGACAAAUAUAAUGUAUUUAUUUUUUCAGCUGCAGAAUACAACUGAAACUGACAAUAAAUUGCAUCUCAACCUUAAAAAAAUUAUUAUUCACCACUAAUACUUGUAAACAGUCUUCGGGAUCCCAUAUUCACCAAAGGGCAUGAGACCAACUUUUCCAAAGGGUUUAAUCAAAUUUUUUUGUAGUAAUUUUGGACAUAGAAUUGAUGAUUCACAGUGUUAUGGUUUGGUCAGCCUUUCCCUGCUCCUCCAGAAAGGUGUAUUGACUUGUGCCUGUGAAGGCCACGUCAAGUCAUGCAGAACUCAAAAAAUUACUUCUUAGCCAAUAACUGACAGAAAUGUUCCUGCAAUCCCUGUUCUACUCCGUGAAAUGUCAAAGCACAGCCACCUCUUAAAGAUUAAAGGGAGAGCUCAUGAGCAACUCAUUAAGAAAGGUGGAACCACUCAGUCAUUUCUACUUUAAAGUUAUCCUUCAACUCAAGCAGCAUAAUUUCAUUUGCAGGCUGCAAUUAAAGCUAUAAUUGGGUUUUGACUAGAUUGCAUGCUUAUGGGGUGGGUUUAGGUUUCCUCUUUGAAAACACGGAUGGUAAUAUAACAUAUUGUUAGUUUCUGAUUGUGAAAAGCAGUGCAAGUAGGUAAGCCACCAAGUACUGGAAAUACUUCUUUAACUAGGUAAAAUUUUACAUAACCUGCAAUCUUAUAUAUACUGGAAAAAAAAAAAAGUUUCUGGUAUCUUCAUGUAGCCUGGUGUCUAACAUAUUCCCUCUGGAUUACGGAUUACCAUUAUGGAUGGUAACACAGGAAAAAAAGAAUGUAGGCUUUGUCUUCACUGCUUAGAAAGCUUAAUGUGUGUGGCUUUCUACCUUUAGGUAAGCAAUGUUUGUCACCCAUCAUGAAAAAAAAGAAUAGGAAAGGAAAAUUACAGGAGAGGGGAAUGUUAAUCCAAAUUUGGAGAGUAAUGUUGAUUGCAGUGAGUUUGCCUCACAAAGUAAAUUGACUUAUAAUCACUGCAUUUUAUCUUAGUAUGGCUCUCAUGCCUUCACUGUCUGAAAAUACAACGUGGUUCUUUUCCUUCCUGAGAAAUACCUGUAAUCUCAGUUGCUUGCUUUCAGGCUCCUUUAGCUUAGCUCUCAGAAGCCCACCUGCCUCACACUCAUCGUGAGUCAUUCAAACACAUUAAGUGAUCCCUAAACACAUGCUAUUAGGAUCUUGUCUUAGAAUUUUUUUUAGAUUGUCUUUAUCUGAAUUUUUAAUAUGAAAACGGAAUAAUAAUAAAACCCUUAAAGAUCCCUUCCAACUCAAAA